GGCGCAGCUGGGGCAACAGCCCAGGCACGUGUGCGAAAGGGCCUGUCCUACGCCUUUCCAGACUCAGCAAGUUUCUCUAAGCAAGCACUUCCUUCCGUGGAUGGUGCCUGGGCUAAAUGCAAGGAUGCCCGAAUGGAGAUUGGGACACUUCUUGCCACCUGGCUGUCUGUAAGGCAAACUAGAACCAGAAAUUGUGCGCGGGUGGGGAAAACCAGCUGUGGAGCGCCAUUUGUGUGCCUACCAUGGUGUGGAGAGUAUCACGUUUUCUUCAAUUUAGAGAGGCCCUUGGAGAGAGGGCCAGAGCUCAUUCCCAUCUGAUCAUUUCCGUGUCUUUGGCAGCCAUUCCUUUCAUGAAAUGUGAUCCAGGGUAGUGGUCUGGGCUGCUCUCAGCCUUGGUCAGAGAAGCCUCCUUUUGCAGAAGUGACAGUCAGUGCAGAGACUCACAGCUGGUCACAGUGCUGAGGAGAAGUGACUGUGGACACUCAGCCCUCCUAGUUUGUUUCCUCAGAGAAAUAUGGGGCCAAUAUAAUAAUGUUGGAAUGACCUUCAAUAUGUUAUGGACCGGUUCAGCUCUCCUUGGAUGCCAGCAGGCUCGUUCCUGGUUGCUGUGGUAAGCCUUCUUCCUGCUCAGGCUCUAGAAGACCUGCAGACAUUCUUUCCACUUCUACUCCAUCCUUUGCAUUUCCUGUUUUCCCAUUGGUUAAGAAACCCGCACAGGGUGAUACAAAAGCUGUGUAGGUCCAUGUUACAAGGGUAAAUAUUGUGACAUGUCCAGAGAAGCAAAACACACAUUCUGAAAAUUUGUGUGCAGAGAUAAGAACACUGUAAUGUUUCAGGGGCCACUUCCCUACUCCCAACCAGGUACAAAAAUAGCCCCCACUUCAAAUACCCAUAGAGAUCUCAGCUUUGAUAGAAAAAUGACAUGAUUUAACCUUGUCAGUUACAGGGUUUCCGUGUGAUUCUCUCACUCAUAAAAAUAAAUAUGACCUUCCAUUUGGUAAAGGCCAUUUUGUUUCAGCAAAAUAAAAUUGCUUUCAUAAACUUAUUCCACUGUGCCUUGGGUCAUCCCUUGAUAGCAAAAUGAAGGCAUAGAUAGCCAUCUUUAAUUUUGUUAGGCAAACCUAGCCACAGAGUUGGCACACACAAUGGUCUAGGCUUGCAUUAUCAGUUUCAAGGUGGUGCGGAAUAGUGUCUCAGAACCCAGAGGCUGAAGGACUGGUUCCAUCCAUUGCCUCCUAACACAGGCUGCCUUUUAGUCUUCCAGUGUUUCUAAGCAACUGCAAGCCUAUGAAAAUCAUCUCACAAGAAACUUUUGAUUAGAAGAGGGGAAAAAAGUCUUUUAAGAAUCUUAAAUUUUUUCAAAGGCAUUUAAACUAUCCCUGAUUAGGAAGCCAAGGUCCAAGAGAGGUUAAAUGCCAAAGUCAUACAGAUAUGGAGAGGCAGAACUGGGAGUGAGUCCAGAACUUUUUGUUCACUUUGCAAAAAGUGUAGCAGUUGCUAUUUUUAGAAGAAAUAACAAUAAUGUCUAAUGGUCAGUGGAAUGUAUCAAACUGUCAAACUCCGGUAAAGCAUAGGAGCCCAACUUGAAUCCAGGCCUAUGUGGGUAAGACUGAUUAAGACCACGUUUUGUGUGGUGUAUGUGUGUUCACACAUGCUACCCACCAUGUCCCAGAGUGAAGGAACUUUACUGCUUGUGCUUUUCAUUUCCUCCAUAUCCCCAGCACACAGAGGUGCAGCCUUUGAGUAGCAAAGGGGAAGAAACUCUAGAAGCAACUCAUCUUAUUUUAGGCCUGGUGAAACUCACUCCCUGAGUCUUCUACUUACUGCUAGAAGCUCUCGUUGCCAGGAAGGGCUUGAGAAGAGCAGGCAAGAAAGGUUGGCAACUCCAGGAACAACCAGUUCUGCUCCUGUGGUUAAUACCCCAUACAGCCUUAAUCUUCACAGUUUUAUUUCUCUAGGAUCUGAUGGAGAUACAAGACACCAACAGUUCUGAGAAGGCAUUCCGAUGUGUAAAGAAAAUGUUGAAUAGAGUCUUCGGGACGAAGAAGUCGGUGUUCCAGUUCCUGGGUCACAGGCUUUGAAUGGAUCUAAGGACUCACUAUGAAGGCUGUCCAUCACAGUUUGUAGUUACUUCCUGGGAAGAGCACGUGGUUAGAGCCUCCAAAUCCUCUAACUGAUGCUCAACAUAUUUGAGAGGCAUUUUUGAGCUUAGUUUGAAAGUUAACUGAAGUCCGUUGAUAGGAAUAAGAAAACUCUGAUGGCUCAUGAUCACAAGAUCCAAACGAACCCCCCACAUUUUAUUCUGUUCCCUUAUCUCAGACUUUCUUUAGAACAAUGUUUGGAGUGUGUAUAAAUGAGUAACUGUUCACAACAGGCCUAAUGGCACUGUGAGUGGGAAUUAAAAUUAGUCUCUGUUCUGUGAGGCUUGAGGGCCUUUGACAGGCUUUGUCUCAAAUAGACUAAUUCUAGUGUGUCUCACCUACAUAUUUCAGAGUCUCUACAUGAGGAUAAUGAUAAAGUAUUAGAAAUGGUGGCAAUGAUUUUGAGACAUUCUGAGUGAAAUUAAUCACAUGGAUUGGUAUACUUAAAGUGGUUACAAUAACAAACUUUGCUAAAUGUGUUUAUUCCAACUUAAAAAAUGGAGUGUAUAAGAAGUUGUUGAAUUAUGUACUUUAAAUGGUUUAAUUAUAUGGUAUGUCAAUUAUGUAUUAAUAAAGCUGCUUUAGGAAAAUAUAUACGAAACCUUAGAAACUAGUCCCAAACACCAUUUUAUAGCCAAAGAAAGCAAGACCCAGAUGGGGUGGGACUCCACAAGGUUGUAUAUAUAUUGCCUGUCAAAAAAUACUUCAUUGUAAUUUGAUGUCGUGUAUAUAUUUUGCCAAAAGAAGAAAAAAAAUAUUUCAUUUUGUAUUUUGCCAUAGAGAUAGGUGGAAACUUAUGCAUCUUGAUAAAUCUGAGUGAAUAAAAUUAUAAAAUGUGACUGACUUAUUCCUGUUUUCUUGAUACUCUGACAGCUAAAGAUGUCUUGAACGGGAAACAGCUGAAUAAUUCAUUUUCUAAUAAUGAGCUGUGAAACAAGUUGAAAUCUAAGACCAAGGAGAUAAAUCACAGUUCCCAAAGGAAAAAGGAAAACAUACCGUAAUUCACCCCUCAUUUGGGCUUUUCACCAAGAACCCUGGGGGAUUCGGCCUUAAGUCCAUUGCCAGGUGGAAGGCACUAGACCUGAAAAGGUGUGGACUACCAAGAGGUCAACCCCAGCCAGUGAGCAGCUCAGUUCUCAUAAACUAAAUAGUGAACGGGCUAAGUGAAGAAUUGGGAAAACAUCCUCAGUAA